UGGGGAAUCUUGGACAAUGGGCGCAAGCCUGAUCCAGCCAUGCCGCGUGGAUGAUGAAGGCCCUAGGGUUGUAAAAUCCUUUCGCCGAGGACGAUAAUGACGGUACUCGGAGAAGAAGCUCCGGCUAACUUCGUGCCAGCAGCCGCGGUAAUACGAAGGGGGCUAGCGUUGUUCGGAUUUACUGGGCGUAAAGCGCGUGUAGGCGGGUCGUUAAGUUGGGGGUGAAAUCCCGAGGCUCAACCUCGGAACUGCCUCCAAAACUGGCGACCUGGAGCAAGAUAGAGGCGAGUGGAAUUCCGAGUGUAGAGGUGAAAUUCGUAGAUAUUCGGAGGAACACCAGUGGCGAAGGCGACUCGCUGGAUCUUUGCUGACGCUGAGACGCGAAAGCGUGGGGAGCAAACAGG
rnacentral:rRNA from 1 species